CCAUAUAUAUCUUCGGAAAUUAAGAAGAAUUAGAUUUUAAUCUGCGGUAUACCGCGGGGACAAUUUAUCUUUUUAAAGUUAGUAUAAUUUUUU
rnacentral:sRNA from 1 species